rnacentral:rRNA from 1 species
CUACGGGGUGCUGCAGUGGGGAAUAUUGGACAAUGGGGGAAACCUUGAUCCAGCAAUGCCGCGUGUGUGAAGAAGGCCUGCGGGUUGUAAAGCACUUUCGGUUGGGAGGACUGCUUCUAGCACUAAUAUUGUUGGAAGUUGACGUUACCUUCAGAAGAAGCACCGGCUAACUCCGUGCCAGCGGAGGCCGCGGUAAUACGGAGGGUGCAAGCGUUAAUCGGAAUUACUGGGCGUAAAGCGCGCGUAGGCGGCUAGAUCAGUCGGGUGUGAAAGCCCCGGGCUUAACCUGGGAACUGCAUCCGAUACUGUCUAGCUUGAGUACAGGAGAGGAGAGUGGAAUUCCACAUGUAGCGGUGAAAUGCGUAGAUAUGUGGAGGAACACCAAUGGCGAAGGCAGCUCUCUGGCCUGAUACUGACGCUGAGGUGCGAAAGCGUGGGGAGCAAACAGGAUUAGAUACCCCCGUAGUC